GGUAGUGGGCUAGCUGGCAUGAUCUGAGUGCCCUACGGGAUGCGUGAAGUAUCUCGCCCGUUCCUUUUACUGUCUUCUCUGGCAACUUCCCCCAGAGUUCAGACCUUUCCAUCCAGCUCCACUGGUUUAUUUUCCCCUUGGUUUUCUUUCUCUCUCAUCCCCUCUGUGCUUUCAACUUGGAAGAGCAAAGACCGUCAACGCUUUGAUCGCCGAUAUUUCAUGGGUAAUCUCUCUCGACCUCUUGACCUCCUGUUCAAAGUGUUUUUAGGGUUAUCUCGAUUUCGAUUUUGUUUUUUCUCACCUCUAUGUUUCCCUCUGUCUCAUGGAGGCGCCGGCGUCGAAGUCACUCAUCGGCUGCAACAGGUAGGUUUUACCCGUGCAACUCCAAGAUCGCACUUUUCCUGCUCCAAAAUCUGUCGCCGCCAUAGAUCUGUUCAUUGAAGGAAAUGUUGAGAAGGAUUUAGAUCCUACACCCAUAACCCAAAUCCGUUUCAGUCUAUGUUCACGAUUCCUGGUGGGUUUUCCUAUUUCCAGUGGGUUUAUUGAUUUCUAUUUGGUCGAGUUCCGAGACUGCCCUGCUUCUGGGCUUCAUUCGGAUGGCCACCCGGUCGAUCGGAUAUGCCCCUGGGCUUCAUCAAGGUUUCAAGGAACAUCAAAAGAGCCAUGCCAUGUGAAGCAGAAAGAUGGACUCGAUAUUAGAGCACAUGUGGAAUACGCGACGAAUUUAGGAAAUAUUUUUCCCAAGGGCUAAUAUAAGGAUCAACUGAAUGCAAGGAAUGAAGACCUAUUCUCUGGGUGCAUGUGCAUAACCUUGAGCUAAAAUUGCAGAAAUGGUAAGUUUAGAGGAGACGAUUGACAUGUUUAUUUCACUUUUGGCUAUGAUGUUAUUUUCAUAUAUUGUUAGCUGCGAAAAGGCAUAGAGUGCAGUUUGAAUGCAGUUUGUAGUGCAAUUUGAUGAAGAGAAUAAAUUCUUUACACCGCCGGUGUAAACAUUUGUUUCCUCCAAAUCUGUUGCAUUGCGACACGUGUCAAAAUAGUGCUCUCAAUUAAUAAAACAUUUGAUGAAUGCAGUUUUCAGUGGACUUUCAAUGCUGUUUUAGUGCACAUUGCAAUGGAAGUACAGCUGUUGCUGUGUGUGUGGGUGUCCAAACUGCAAUUUUAUUGGAGAUUUGAGGCUGUUUUAGUGCAGUUUUUUUUGUGUAAUUUUACUGCAAUAUCUGUGGCAAUGAUGAUUGUCUGUGCUCACAAAUGGGCUACUUCCACUUUUGAACUAUACUUCUGUGUGUAUUGAGGUUGACAGCUAUGUGCAAUGCUGGACACAGUUUUUUCCCCUCCCAAAAAGAGG